GCCCUCGUAGUUCAAUGGACAGAACACAAGUUUCCGGAACUUGCGAUAGGGGUCCGAUUCCUCUCGAGGGCG
rfam:Candidatus Giovannonibacteria bacterium RIFCSPLOWO2_12_43_8 rifcsplowo2_12_sub10_scaffold_2321, whole genome shotgun sequence.